UACGUAGGGUGCGAGCGUUGUCCGGAAUUAUUGGGCGUAAAGCGCUCGCAGGUGGUUUGUCGCGUCGUGCGUGAAAGACCCCGGCUCAACUGGGGAGGGUCGUGCGAUACGGGCGAACUGGAGGCCAGUAGGGGGAUGCGGAAUUCCGGGUGUAGUGGUGGAAUGCGUAGAGAUCCGGAGGAACACCAGCGGCGAAGGCGGCAUCCUGGACUGGUCCUGACACUCAGGAGCGAAAGCGUGGGGAGCGAUCCGG
rnacentral:rRNA from 1 species